rnacentral:rRNA from 1 species
AUUGAACGCUGGCGGCAGGCCUAACACAUGCAAGUCGAGCGGAUUUUGGGGGCUUGCUCCCAAGGUUAGCGGCGGACGGGUGAGUAACGCGUAGGAAUUUGCCCAGUAGUGGGGGAUAACGUUCCGAAAGGAACGCUAAUACCGCAUACGCCCCAUGGGGGAAAGCAGGGGAUCUUCGGAACUUGAGCUAUUGGAGAAGCCUGCGUCGGAUUAGCUAGUUGGUAGGGUAAAGGCCUACCAAGGCGACGAUCCGUAGCUGGUCUGAGGGGAUGAUCAGCCACACUGGGACUGAGACACGGCCCAGACUCCUACGGGAGGCAGCAGUGGGGAAUAUUGGACAAUGGGGGCAACCCUGAUCCAGCCAUGCCGCGUGUGUGAAGAAGGCCUUCGGGUUGUAAAGCACUUUCAGUAGGGAGGAAAAGUUGGCGGCUAAUAUCCGUUGACCCUGACGUUACCUACAGAAGAAGCACCGGCAAACUCCGUGCCAGCCGCCGCCGUAA